GCUAGGCAUGGUGGCGUGCACCUGUAAUCCCAGCUACUCGGAGGCUGAGGCAGGAGAAUUGCUUGUACCCAGGAGGUGGAGGUUGCAGUGAACCGUGAUCACGCCACUGCACUCCAGCCUGGGCAAUAGAGUGAGACCCUGUCUCAA
ensembl:misc_RNA Metazoa_SRP Metazoan signal recognition particle RNA